GAUUUCCUUAGUAACGGCGAGCGAACAGGAAACUGUCCAGCCACAAGUCUUCACAAUUUAUUUGUUCAAGAUANGCCGCGNUAACACAGUGGCGCAUCGUGCAUUGUUUCUCAUUUCAAGUUCCUUUGACAAGGACAUCCAUAGUAGGUGCUAGGCCUAUAGAGAUGAAAAACUGAUGCACGCAGGCCAUUGCAUUCUAGAGUCAGGUUGCUUGAGAGUGCAGCUUAAAGUCGGUGGUAAACUCCAUCUAAGACUAAAUAUGACAGCGAGACCGAUAGCAAACAAGUNCCGUGAGGGAAAGUUGCAAAGCACUUUGAAGAGAGAGUUCAAUAGUACGUGAAACCACUGGUGGGCAAACAGAUGGAACUGCGAAGUAUGCGCCUCGGUCGAUUCAAUCAUCGUCGAUGGUUUGAUGUGUUGCAAGAUGAAUCUCUGGAGAUUGGUGCAACGCUUGAAUGAUCCAUAGAUGGUGGUGCAUUUCGUGCCGAGGAUGUAAAGUCACGUUCGACUAGAGUUGGGACAGCCGUAGGACAGAAUUAAGGAAAGGUGACUGUUGAGUGGUUUGCCACUAUAAACGGUGUUUAUAGUCCUUGAUUGGUACUGUCGCCUAACAUGCUGGUCGAUGUAAAUUCUCCUAAUUUUGGAGUGAAAAAUUGUGCUUGCCUAUGACAAUUGAAUGGGCAUUUCGAGAUGGGCUUUACGUGUCCKUGGAUGCGGAAAGACAUUUCAACAGUGUCGGUUCGGUGUUGUUUGCAUUGCACAAUGGAACUGUGACGAGAGUAGGUCGGUGUCCAUCUGACCCGUCUUGAAACACGGACCAAGGAGUCUAUCAUAUACGCGAGUCGCUCGGUCUUGUUUAGGCCUGAGAGGCGUAAUGAAAGUAACGUUACGAGAUGUAAACAAUCGCAGUAACGGCUCGCCUACUUCGUUUAUUGGCGAUAUGGCGACGCUGGAGCGUAUACGAUGGUACCCGAAAGAUGGUGAACUAUGCCUGGGCAAGACGAAGCCAGAGGAAACUCUGGUGGAGGUCUGUAGCGAUUCUGACGUGCAAAUCGAUCGUCAGACCUGGGUAUAGGGGCGAAAGACUAAUCGAACCAUCUAGUAGCUGGUUCCUUCCGAAGUUUUCCUCAGAAUAGCAGGCGCUUGUUAGUCAGUCUCAUCCGGUAAAGCUAAUGAUUAGAGAUCUUGGGAUUGAAACGAUCUCAAUCUAUUCUCAAACUUUGAAUGGGUGAGAUGGUUGACUUUCUUGAUUGAAGCCAACCAAUUGGAUGUAAGUGCCUAGUGGGCCAGCUUUGGUAAGCAGAACUGGCGCUGUGGGAUGAACCAAACGUCGAGAUAAGGUAUCAAAUGCAUACGCUCAUUAGACCCCAUGAAAAGUGUUGGUUGCUAUAGACAGCAGGACGGUGGCCAUGGAAGUCGGAAUCC
rnacentral:rRNA from 1 species